GGAGCUAGGUGAGAGGCAGGAUCAGACAGGCAAUCAUCAACAACAUACUCUGAAUUUAAGAAUGACCACCACACAGUAAGAGAACUGGAAUUUGGAGGAAAACUUCAGCUCUCAAAUCACAAGAAAUAGCUAAUUCUACCCCCAUCUUAUUGAACUCCCUGAAAGUGAAUAUUCUGAUUGUAAUUACUGAAGAAUUUGAUAUCUACAAACCUGAUCCUGGCACCUAUGAAGGUAUCUUGAAAGGAGAGAUAGGACACAGAUUAAUGCACAGAGCCAAGAUAACUACCUCAGAAUUUCCAAGGGGAACAGAUUCUUCCUAUAAAGUUAAUAAUCCUAGAAAGAGAGCUCAAUCCCUAAUGGAAAAGUUAAAAGAAGACAUUGGU
rnacentral:lncRNA from 1 species